rnacentral:misc_RNA from 1 species
GUUCAGGACCUUGAUUUACCUGAAGGUGAUGAACCAGAAACAGAAUCCGGUGCUAUUCAUGAUGUGAAAUAUGAUUUACUAGAAGGGGUUGAGCAGUUUGGAAAACAAAAGCAUUCUGAAGUGAACGUUGAUAAGAUGGACCAAGCCAAGGAAGAUGGGAUGAGAAGCUCCAAUAGCACUCCAAAUGUGUUGCCUCAAGUUUCUAAGUGGAAGUCUAUCUUUAAUUCUGUUGCCAAGCAGGUCUCACAGGUAUCACUCUCUCUGGGGAUAAGGAUCGCAUCCAUUCAAGGAACUAUGAGGCUCUACAUAAAGCCACCACCUUCAGAUCAAAUAUGGUUCGGAUUCACAUCGAUGCCCGAUAUAGAUAUCCACUUGGACUCUUCCGUUGGGGAGCAUAAGAUCUCAAGUGGGCAUCUCUCUUUGUUCCUAAUCAAUCGGUUCAAGGGUGCUAUUCGUGAAACACUGGUACUUCCAAACUGUGAAAGUGUAUCCAUCCCAUUUAUGUUAGCAGAGAAGGACGAUUGGGUCCCCCGACAAGUUGCCCCAUUUUUAUGGCUGAAUCGAGAAGGUGCAGGUAAUAAUGCGAACAGACAAGAAGCAUCCAGCUCCCAACCUGCGGAUGCAACACGAGUCACUGAAGUUGACAAGGGAGGUACCAAUGGUAAUUCUGAAAGCAAAACUGAAAUUCCAGGAAAAACAGGAUGGAGUACUCAACAAAGCAAGUCAUUGGAUCCACAUGCAUUAUUAUCAGUUCCUACGCAUAGUCCAGAAACAGGAAGCACCUCUAGCAAUGGCGGAAGCAAUCAAGCGAAGACGAAAAAACUUGGAUGGUCUGCCCUGCAAAGCAAAUCACUGGAUCAUGCGUCUCUAUCAGUUCCUAUAGCACAGCCUGGCACAAAUAACCAGCCUUUGGAAGAAUUGGGAGCACCAUUGUUGAAGCAUGAGGAACAGCAAGAGGGUCAUCUCGAAAGCACAGCGGAGAACAUAGAAUGCAAGUCACCUUCUCGACAACUGUUACUACUUGAAAAAAAUCAAAUUACUGGAGAAGAUGAUUCAAAGUGUACAAGAUUAGGGAGAAGGGCUAGGAUGCUUGGUUUGGGGAAGAAAAUGGGGGAGAAACUGGAAGAAAGGGCACGUCACAUAGAAGAAAAGGGGAGAAAUUUAGUUGAGAGAAUGAGGGGACAACAGUGAAAUUAAGGAACAUUGUAAAUUUUACAGUAUGGCCAGUUCAUUUAUUUUCACAACGCAAGUCCCUGUGUAUCUUGUUACUGGCG